CAGUCGCCGCGGGAAUACGAAGGGGGCUAGCGUUGCUCGGAAUUACUGGGCGUAAAGGGCGCGUAGGCGGACAGUUCAGUCGGGGGUGAAAGCCCGGGGCUCAACCUCGGAAUUGCCUUCGAUACUGGCUGUCUUGAGUAUGAGAGAGGUGUGUGGAACUCCGAGUGUAGAGGUGAAAUUCGUAGAUAUUCGGAAGAACACCAGUGGCGAAGGCGACACACUGGCUCAUUACUGACGCUGAGGCGCGAAAGCGUGGGGAGCAAACAGGAUUAGAGACCCCUGUAGUCCCUGUCUCUUAUAA
rnacentral:rRNA from 1 species